AUUAAGCUGACGAGUCCCAAAUAGGAUGAAACGUGCGUCUUGGAU
rnacentral:hammerhead_ribozyme from 1 species